GUGGGGAAUCUUGGACAAUGGGCGCAAGCCUGAUCCAGCGACGCCGCGUGGGUGACGAAGGCCUUCGGGUUGUAAAGCCCUUUUCCCGGGGACGAUGAUGACGGUACCCGGGGAAUAAGCACCGGCUAACUCCGUGCCAGCAGCCGCGGUAAGACGGAGGGUGCUAGCGUUGUUCGGAAUGACUGGGCGUAAAGGGCGCGUAGGCGGCUCGUGAAGUCGGGUGUGAAAGCCCGGGGCUCAACCCCGGAACGGCAUCCGAUACUGGCGGGCUUGAGACCGGGAGAGGAGGGUGGAAUACCCAGUGUAGAGGUGAAAUUCGUAGAUAUUGGGUGGAACACCGGUGGCGAAAGCGGCUCUCUGGCCCGGAUCUGACGCUGAGGCGCGAAAGCGUGGGGAGCAAACAGGAUUAGAAACCCGUGUAGUCC
rnacentral:rRNA from 1 species